rnacentral:tRNA from 1 species
CGGGAGGUUACAAAAACCCCCUGAACCUGAAUGGGGUUCAGGGGGUCGCGAGUUCAAAUCUCGCCGUCCCGACCA